ACGAACGCUGGCGGCGUGCUUAACACCUGCAAGUCGAACGCUGAACCCGCUUCGGUGGGGGAUGAGUGGCGAACGGGUGAGUAACACGUGGGCAACCUGCCCCCGGCUCUGGGAUAACUCCAAGAAAUUGGGGCUAAUACCGGAUGUGACCGCUGGCCGCAUGGUCUGGUGGUGGAAAGGGUUUCCGGCUGGGGAUGGGCCCGCGGCCUAUCAGCUUGUUGGUGGGGUAGUGGCCUACCAAGGCGACGACGGGUAGCCGGCCUGAGAGGGUGACCGGCCACACUGGGACUGAGACACGGCCCAGACUCCUACGGGAGGCAGCAGUGGGGAAUAUUGCGCAAUGGGCGGAAGCCUGACGCAGCGACGCCGCGUGGGGGAUGACGGCCUUCGGGUUGUAAACCUCUUUCAGCAGGGACGAAGCGCAAGUGACGGUACCUGCAGAAGAAGCACCGGCCAACUACGUG
rnacentral:rRNA from 1 species